ACGGCGACGUUAAGCAAAUCCCAGAAAUAACGUCCCAGUUCGGAUUGUAGUCUGCAACCCGACUACAUGAAGCUGGAAUCGCUAGUAAUCGCGGAUCAGAAUGCCGCGGUGAAUACGUUCCCGGGUCUUGUACACACCGCCCGUCACACCAUGGGAGUCGGAAAUGCCCGAAGUCAGUGACCCAACCGUAAGGAGGGAGCUGCCGAAGGUGGAGCCGGUAACUGGGGUGAAGUCGUAACAAGGUAAC
rnacentral:rRNA from 1 species